rnacentral:sRNA from 1 species
AUUUGAGGUCAGCCUGAUCUACAGAGUGAGUUCCAGGACAGCCAGGGUUACACAGAGACACCCUGUAUUGAACAACAACCAUAAAAGACAUCUUUAGGGUCUAGAGAGAUGGUUCAGUGGUUAAGAACACUGACUACUCCUCCAAGAGGACCCAAGUUCCAGUCCCUAAACUCACAAGAUACCUAAUGACAGUCUAUGAUUCCAGUUUCAGGAGAUCUGACAUCCUCUUUUGACCCCACAGUCAUUGUACACAUGUGGUGUACAGACAUGCAUGCUCUCAUUCUGCAGCAAUAACAGGCCCGGAACUCACUCCAAGGGACAGCAGACUUUGACUUGGCGUCAGUCUUCCUGCCUCUGCCUUGGAAAUGCUGAGAUUACAGUUGUGUACCACUGUGCCAGGUUCCAUGGUCCUCAAUACUCUGGAGGUUUAAGGGUACCCAAGCCUGGUGCUGGAUGCAGACAGAAUGGAAAACACAGAAGCUGUGAAGGCCAAGGCACGCACGGGCUACUGCAGGACUGUAGGUCGCCUGCCAUGGCUGGUUUCCAGGUAGAGCCGCCCCGAUGAGAUCCCUGAACACUGUUUCCUUUCCUGGCAUUACCACGGAAGAUACACAUUUCCUCCUACUCUCUGGCUUCAGUGUGUCAUGUUCAAAAUGACUCUGUUCCACAGAGCCCGGUACGUAUGGAUGUGGAAGGAGGGUAGCAGGCUAGGGUUCUGAGGUUUUAGCUGUGUGUGUGUGUGUGUGUGUGUGUGUGUGUGUGUGUGUGUGUGUGUGUGUGUGUGGUGGGUCCUGGAGCCCCCAUUCCAUGGGGUUGUGGUGUAAGGAGUAUGAGGUAAGAGGUAGUCCCUCAUCAAAGAGAAGUAAAGAUCAAGGAACCCCAUGCCUGCUCACUAACCUAUAGGUGACAGGCUGGCUUAUGGCCAGAAGUGGCAGUCACUCUUAUCCCAUGACCGUCACAUCAUGUUGGCAGCCCCAGCCGUAGG